GUCCUUUUGUGGUUCAUAGCAGGAUGCUUGGGUUUUCGUGCUCUAGCGUGAGAUACGCUGCCUUAAACUGUGUUAUGGUGUCAGCACAUCACUCAUCUGAUG